GACGAACGCUGGCGGCGCGCCUAACACAUGCAAGUCGAACGAGCGAGAGAGAGCUUGCUUUCUCGAGCGAGUGGCGAACGGGUGAGUAACGCGUGAGGAACCUGCCUCAAAGAGGGGGACAACAGUUGGAAACGACUGCUAAUACCGCAUAAGCCCACGGGUCGGCAUCGACCAGAGGGAAAAGGAGCAAUCCGCUCUGAGAUGGCCUCGCGUCCGAUUAGCUAGUUGGUGAGGUAACGGCCCACCAAGGCAACGAUCGGUAGCCGGACUGAGAGGUUGAACGGCCACAUUGGGACUGAGACACGGCCCAGACUCCUACGGGAGGCAGCAGUGGGGAAUAUUGCACAAUGGGGGAAACCCUGAUGCAGCGACGCCGCGUGGAGGAAGAAGGUCUUCGGAUUGUAAACUCCUGUUGUUGGGGAAGAUAAUGACGGUACCCAACAAGGAAGUGACGGCUAACUACGUGCCAGCAGCCGCGGUAAAACGUAGGUCACAAGCGUUGUCCGGAAUUACUGGGUGUAAAGGGAGCGCAGGCGGGAAGACAAGUUGGAAGUGAAAUCUAUGGGCUCAACCCAUAAACUGCUUUCAAAACUGUUUUUCUUGAGUAGUGCAGAGGUAGGCGGAAUUCCCGGUGUAGCGGUGGAAUGCGUAGAUAUCGGGAGGAACACCAGUGGCGAAGGCGGCCUACUGGGCACCAACUGACGCUGAGGCUCGAAAGUGUGGGUAGCAAACAGGAUUAGAUACCCUGGUAGUCCACACCGUAAACGAUGAUUACUAGGUGUUGGAGGAAUGACCCCUUCAGUGCCGCAGUUAACACAAUAAGUAAUCCACCUGGGGAGUACGACCGCAAGGUUGAAACUCAAAGGAAUUGACGGGGGCCCGCACAAGCAGUGGAGUAUGUGGUUUAAUUCGACGCAACGCGAAGAACCUUACCAAGUCUUGACAUCCCUUGACAGGCAUAGAAAUAUGUUUUCUCUUCGGAGCAAGGAGACAGGUGGUGCAUGGUUGUCGUCAGCUCGUGUCGUGAGAUGUUGGGUUAAGUCCCGCAACGAGCGCAACCCUUAUGGUCAGUUACUACGCAAGAGGACUCUGGCCAGACUGCCGUUGACAAAACGGAGGAAGGUGGGGAUGACGUCAAAUCAUCAUGCCCUUUAUGACUUGGGCUACACACGUACUACAAUGGCAUUAAACAAAGAGAAGCAAGACCGCGAGGUGGAGCAAAACUCAGAAACAACGUCCCAGUUCGGACUGCAGGCUGCAACUCGCCUGCACGAAGUCGGAAUUGCUAGUAAUCGUGGAUCAGCAUGCCACGGUGAAUACGUUCCCGGGCCUUGCACACACGGCCCGUC
rnacentral:rRNA from 1 species